CGGGAUGGACGCACCGCUGGUGCACCAGUUGUUCCGCCAGGAGCAUAGCUGGGUAGCUACGUGCGGAUGGGAUAAACGCUGAAAGCAUCUAAGCGUGAAGCCCUCCUCAAGAUGAGAUUUCCCAAUUUAGUAAGACCCCUUGAAGACGACGAGGUUGAUAGGCCUGAGGUGGAAGUGCAGCAAUGUAUGGAGCUGACAGGUACUAAUCGGUCGAGGGCUUAUCCAAAUU
rnacentral:rRNA from 1 species